AGGGUCAAACAGGAUACAGUCAAACAAGCCAGUUUCGCAUACAACCUGUUACAUAAGCUAAAAUUAUUGACUAUAGAUCAUACAUGCAAAAGAAAAAUACCCCUGAACGACCUGCAUAUUAAUCUUUACAAUAAGAUAAGUUAUCUUCCAUGGCAUCCAAGAUUUAUUUUGUAAUAAAACUCUGAAUUGACUUUAAGCUUCCUUCAUUGACAUGUUGAUCUAUUUUCACUAAUGCUGAUGGUGGUACUUCUGGGAUUUGACCCUUGCUUCAUCUCGAUCUAAAGAGACCAGCGGCGUUUUACUCCUUUGGUCUAUCCAGUUCUCUCAUCUCCUCAUCUGUAUGCUCUAACAGCUUUAACAGAUCAGCUUCCAGCUUUCAUUCUAACGCCACUGUCCAUGCCAUUGUGCUUGUCAUUCCGUAGAUCACUAACUAGCUGAGUGAGUCUUUGCUGUAACUCUCGGGGGUAUGCCUUCGUAUAGCCGCACUGCAUUCUGCACCUUUAAGACCACCACCAUUUGCUGUCUCCACAUCUUCUACAUUGGAGUUCUCAUUUGUAUGACACUGAACGUUGCUGGAAAAUGGGUCAUGGGGAGCAUGGAGCCUAUCCCAGGGGACAAGACGGGAUGGGGAAUGAACCCGUCGCAGGGCACAAUCGCACUCACACUCUCACACCCAUUCACACACACCACAGACAAUUUCGAGAGGCCAACUAGCCUACAAUGCAUGUUUUUGGACUGGGGGAGGAAACAGGAUGGUUUCAGGGUGUACUUUUCCUUUAAAAAUCCUCAAAGAACGUUUCAAACUGCUUCAAAUGAUCAGAAAGGCAGACAUACUUCUUCUGAUCGAUAAGCCUGCCCAGCUGCAGACAGGACUGCAGGGCGAUUGUAAUCUCCGUUAGCAUGUCUGCCAUCUUCUUCUGCAUCAGCUGGUUUCUGG